rnacentral:rRNA from 1 species
GACGAACGCUGGCGGCGUGCUUAACACAUGCAAGUCGAACGGACAGGCCCUGCUUUUGUGGGGUGCUCGAGUGGCGAACGGGUGAGUAACACGUGAGUAACCUGCCCUUGACUUUCUGAUAACUUCAGGAAACUGCGGCUAAUACCGGAUAGGAGCUCCUGCUGCAUGGUGGUGGUUGGAAAGUUUCGGCGGUUGGGGAUGGACUCGCGGCUUAUCAGCUUGUUGGUGGGGUAGUGGCUUACCAAGGCUUUGACGGGUAGCCGGCAUGAGAGGGUGACCGGCCACAUUGGGACUGAGAUACGGCGCAGAAUCCUACGGGAGGCAGCAGUGGGGAAUAUUGCAGAAUGGGCGGAAGCGUGAGGCAGCAGCGCCGCGUGCGGGAUGACGGCCUUCGGGGUGUAAACAGAUGUCGCAUGUGACGAAGAGUGAGUGACGGUAAUGGGUAAAGAAGCACCGGCUAACUACGUG